rnacentral:rRNA from 1 species
UACAGAGGGUGCAAGCGUUGUUCGGAAUUAUUGGGCGUAAAGAGCGUGUAGGCGGCCAGGUAGGUCUGCUGUGAAAACUCGAGGCUCAACCUCGAGACGUCGGCGGAAACCAUCUGGCUAGAGUCCGGAAGAGGAGAGUGGAAUUCCUGGUGUAGCGGUGAAAUGCGCAGAUAUCAGGAGGAACACCGGUGGCGAAGGCGGGUCUCUGGACAGUUCCUGACGCUGAGGCACGAAGGCCAGGGGAGCAAACGGG